rnacentral:hammerhead_ribozyme from 1 species
AUCUGACGAGUCCUAAACGGGACGAAGCACGCGUCUUGGAU